rnacentral:rRNA from 1 species
AAAAAAAAAACUAUAAGACUGGGAUAACUUCGGGAAACCGGAGCUAAUACCGGAUAAUAUAUUGAACCGCAUGGUUCAAUAGUGAAAGACGGUUUUGCUGUCACUUAUAGAUGGAUCCGCGCCGCAUUAGCUAGUUGGUAAGGUAACGGCUUACCAAGGCAACGAUGCGUAGCCGACCUGAGAGGGUGAGAGGUAAAACUGGAACUGAGAAACGGGCAAGACUCCUAAGGGAGGCAGAAGUAGGGAAUCUUACGCAAUGGGCGAAAGCUUGAAGGCGCAAUGCUUUUUUUUUUUU